UCUCCAUAGUGUCAAAGUUAACUCAAUUUUGUAUGGAGUUGAAUCGUUUGCUUACGUUUGCCGCUAGGGGCGCUGUUCCAACUGCAUACAAAUUUGCGUUAACUUUUACGCUAUCGA
rnacentral:pre_miRNA from 9 species